CUAAUGUCCUGCUAUGCAAUGUCGGGCAGCCAGACACAUUCUGGAGGAAGACGGGUGUAAAGAUAAUAUCUGGACCCCGGUCUCAGACCUCAGAAACGCAGAGWGCUGGAUCCUCAGGGAGGUCAGAGGCAGGUGGCUUAGAUGAAGUGAGGUCUGCUAUGUUAGUGCUAAGGAGAAUCAUGCCGAGGCGAACCUGUUGACCCAUUCCAUCCUGCUGGGAGGAAGAAGAGUCCAUCCGUCUUCCUCUCUGACCCGCAUCCUCCACCAGCAUCUUCAGGCGGUUCAGACCCCGUGAGUCCUCCUGUUAGCGCUUGGUUAGACGUUUGGUUGUGACACACUGGAAAAAGGCGGCGCAGCGGAACAGACUACAAACAAACAACAGCAGCCAGAUGCCAAAACAGGAACAGGAAAGAAGAAAGGAAACUUACUGUGGUUCACUGGCCAUUACUAUGCACAAUGAAUGCAGGAUCCCUGAAAUAAACAAUGAAACAUGUGAGACAUUUAA